UACGUAGGGGGCAAGCGUUGUCCGGAUUUAUUGGGCGUAAAGAGCGUGUAGGCGGUCAGGUAGGUCCGUUGUGAAAACUCGAGGCUCAACCUCGAGACGCCGAUGGAAACCAUCUGACUAGAGUCCGGAAGAGGAGAGUGGAAUUCCUGGUGUAGCGGUGAAAUGCGCAGAUAUCAGGAGGAACACCGGUGGCGAAGGCGGGUCUCUGGGCCGUAACUGACGCUGAGGAGCGAAAGCGUGGGGAGCGAACAGG
rnacentral:rRNA from 1 species